CCUANGGGUGGCUGCAGUGGGGAAUCUUGCGCAAUGGACGAAUGUCUGACGCAGCGACGCCGCGUGUGGGAUGAAGGCCUUCGGGUUGUAAACCACUGUCGGAGGGGACGAAGGCCCGGCCGGUAACUCGGACCGGGAUUGACGGUACCCUCAAAGGAAGCACCGGCUAACUCCGUGCCAGCAGCCGCGGUAAUACGGAGGGUGCGAGCGUUGUCCGGAAUCACUGGGCGUAAAGGGCGCGUAGGCGGCUGGGUAAGUCAUGCGUGAAAUCCCCGGGCUUAACCUGGGAAUUGCGCUUGAAACUAGCGGGCUUGAGUGUGGCAGAGGGGGGUGGAAUUCCACGUGUAGCAGUGAAAUGCGUAGAGAUGUGGAGGAACACCGAUGGCGAAGGCAGCCCCCUGGGUCAACACUGACGCUCAUGCACGAAAGCGUGGGGAGCAAACAGGAUUAGAUACCCCANUANUC
rnacentral:rRNA from 1 species